rnacentral:rRNA from 1 species
GAUGAACGCUGGCGGCGUGCCUAAUACAUGCAAGUCGAGCGAACGGACGAGGAGCUUGCUUCUCUGAUGUUAGCGGCGGACGGGUGAGUAACACGUGGAUAACCUACCUAUAAGACUGGGAUAACUUCGGGAAACCGUAGCUAAUACCGGAUAAUAUUUUGAACCGCAUGGUUCAAAAGUGAAAGACGGUCUUGCUGUCACUUAUAGAUGGAUCCGCGCUGCAUUAGCUAGUUGGUAAGGUAACGGCUUACCAAGGCAACGAUGCAUAGCCGACCUGAGAGGGUGAUCGGCCACACUGGAACUGAGACACGGUCCAGACUCCUACGGGAGGCAGCAGUAGGGAAUCUUCCGCAAUGGGCGAAAGCCUGACGGAGCAACGCCGCGUGAGUGAUGAAGGUCUUCGGAUCGUAAAACUCUGUUAUUAGGGAAGAUCAUAUGUGUAAGUAACUGUGCACAUCUUGACGGUACCUAAUCAGAAAGCCACGGCUAACUACGUG